rnacentral:rRNA from 1 species
UGGGGGAUAUUGCACAAUGGACGAAAGUCUGAUGCAGCGACGUCGUGUGGGGGAUGAAGGCCUUCGGGUUGUAAACUCCUUUCGCCCGCGGAAAAGGCAGGGUUUUGGCCUUGUUGAUGGUAGUGGUUAAAGAAGCGCCGGCUAACUACGUGCCAGCAGCCGCGGUAAUACGUAGGGCGCGAGCGUUGUCCGGAAUUAUUGUGCGUAAAGGGCUCGUAGGCGGUUUGUCGCGUCUAGCGUUUAAGGCUCGGGCUUAACCCGGGUUUGCGUUGGGUACGGGCAGGCUUGAGUGCGGUAGGGGUAACUGGAAUUCCUGGUGUAGCGGUGGAAUGCGCAGAUAUCAGGAGGAACACCGGUGGCGAAGGCGGGUUACUGGGCCGUUACUGACGCUGAGGAGCGAGAGCGUGGGGAGCGAACAGG